AUGGAGAGUUUGAUCCUGGCUCAGGACGAACGCUGGCGGCGUGCUUAACACAUGCAAGUCGAACGGAAAGGCCCUGCUUUUGUGGGGUGCUCGAGUGGCGAACGGGUGAGUAACACGUGAGUAACCUGCCCCUGACUCUGGAAUAACUUCGGGAAACCGAUGCUAAUACCGGAUAUGACACAGAGCCGCAUGGUUUCUGUGUGGAAAGUUUUUCGGUUGGGGAUGGACUCGCGGCCUAUCAGCUUGUUGGUGAGGUAAUGGCUCACCAAGGCGACGACGGGUAGCCGGCCUGAGAGGGCGAUCGGCCACACUGGGACUGAG
rnacentral:rRNA from 14 species